rnacentral:rRNA from 1 species
UACGGAGGGGGCUAGCGUUGUUCGGAAUUACUGGGCGUAAAGCGCACGUAGGCGGCUUUGCAAGUCAGAGGUGAAAGCCCGGGGCUCAACCCCGGAAUUGCCUUUGAGACUGCAUCGCUAGAAUUGUGGAGAGGUAAGUGGAAUUCCGAGUGUAGAGGUGAAAUUCGUAGAUAUUCGGAAGAACACCGGUGGCGAAGGACGGUCUGCUGGGCGAGUUGCUGGACACUGAGCGCGACAGCGUGGGGAGCAAACAGGG